GUGGUAAUGCCGGAUGCUCCGACUCCUCGCAUGGGGUGUCGGGAAAGAUUUCAUCGGUAUGGGAUGGGGUCGCGUCCUAUCAGGUAGUCGGCGGGGUAACGGCCCACCGAGCCUACGACGGGUAGCCGGCCUGAGAGGGCGACCGGCCACAUUGGGACUGAGAUACGGCCCAGACUCCUACGGGAGGCAGCAGUGGGGAAUAUUGCACAAUGGGCGCAAGCCUGAUGCAGCGACGCCGCGUGCGGGAUGACGGCCUUCGGGUUGUAAACCGCUUUUGAUCGGGAGCAAGCCUUCGGGUGAGUGUACCUUUCGAAUAAGCACCGGCUAACUACGUGCCAGCAGCCGCGGUAAUACGUAGGGUGCAAGCGUUAUCCGGAAUUAUUGGGCGUAAAGGGCUCGUAGGCGGUUCGUCGCGUCCGGUGUGAAAGUCCAUCGCUUAACGGUGGAUCUGCGCCGGGUACGGGCGGGCUGGAGUGCGGUAGGGGAGACUGGAAUUCCCGGUGUAACGGUGGAAUGUGUAGAUAUCGGAAAAGAACACC
rnacentral:rRNA from 1 species